GGGGCUAUAGCUCAGCUGGGAGAGCGCUUGCAUGGCAUGCAAGAGGUCGUCGGUUCGAUCCCGAUUAGCUCCA
rfam:Gammaproteobacteria bacterium RIFCSPHIGHO2_02_FTLL_42_13 rifcsphigho2_02_scaffold_9019, whole genome shotgun sequence.